AGCCACUUCUCUUCAAAGUGAAUACAUCUUUCGCCUUUUUCUAAAGAUUUCCGUGGAGAGGAGUAAUGCAGAGAUUGAAGGCAAUUUCUGUGGGAGAAGCAGCAUGGUAUAGUGGCU